GAUGAACGCUGGCGGCGUGCCUAAUACAUGCAAGUCGAGCGAACGGACGAGAAGCUUGCUUCUCUGAUGUUAGCGGCGGACGGGUGAGUAACACGUGGAUAACCUACCUAUAAGACUGGGAUAACUUCGGGAAACCGUAGCUAAUACCGGAUAAUAUUUUGAACCGCAUGGUUCAAAAGUGAAAGACGGUCUUGCUGUCACGUAUAGAUGGAUCCGCGCUGCAUUAGCUAGUUGGUAAGGUAACGGCUUACCAAGGCAACGAUGCAUAGCCGAACUGAGAGGGUGAUCGGCCACCCUGGAAGUGAGACACGGUCAAGACUCCUACGGGAGGCAGCAGUAGGGAAUCUUCCGCAAUGGGCGAAAGCCUGACGGAGCAACGCCGAGUGAGUGAUGAAGGCCUUCGGAUCGUAAAAAUCUGUUAUUAGGGAAGAACAUAUGUGUAAGUAACUGUGCACAUCUUGACGGUACCUAAUCAGAAAGCCACGGCUAACUACGUG
rnacentral:rRNA from 1 species